AUGUUACUCGACCAUGACGAACCUACGAACUAUGAGGAAACGAUGAUGAGCCCAGAUUCCGCAAAAUGGCUUGAGGCCGUGAAAUCUGAGAUGGGAUCCAUGUAUGAGAACAAAGUGUGGACUUUGGUUGACUUUCCCGAUGAUCGGCAAUCCAUCGAGAAUAAAUGGAUCUUCAAGAAGAAGACUGACGCUGACGGUAAUGUUACUGUCUACAAAGCUCGACUUGUUGCGAAAGGUUUUCGACAAGUUCAAGGAGUUGAAUACGAUGAGACUUUCUCACCCGUAGAGAUGCUUAAGUCCGUCCGAAUCAUGUUAGCAAUUUCCGCAUUUUAUGAUUAUGAAAUUUGGCAAAUGGAUGUAAAGACUGCAUUCCUGAAUGGAUUUCUGGAAGAAGAGUUGUAUAUGAUGCAACUUGAAGGUUUUAUCGAUCCAAACGUUGCUAACAAAGUGUGCAAGCUCCAGCGAUCCAUUUAUGGACUGGUGCAAGCAUCCGGAGUUGGAAUAAAUGCUUUGAUAGUGUUAUCAAAGCAUAUGGUUUUAUACAGACUUUUGGAGAAGCCUGUAUUUACAAUAAAGUGA
rnacentral:rRNA from 1 species